GCCGCCAUAGAUCCUUGACAGCACCACAUCCCGUCCGAUCUGCGCAGUUAAGCAGGGUAUCGCCUAGUCAGUACUGCCGUGGGGGACCACGCCGGUGCUGCAGUUC
rnacentral:rRNA from 1 species